GGGUUGUGAGGUUAAGCGACUAAGCGUACACGGUGGAUGCCCUGGCAGUCAGAGGCGAUGAAGGACGUGCUAAUCUGCGAUAAGCGCCGGUAAGGUGAUAUGAACCGUUAUAACCGGCGAUUUCCGAAUGGGGAAACCCAGUGUGACUCGUCACACUAUCAUUAACUGAAUCCAUAGGUUAAUGAGGCGAACCGGGGGAACUGAAACAUCUAAGUACCCCGA
rnacentral:rRNA from 3 species